GAUGAACGCUGGCGGCGUGCCUAAUACAUGCAAGUCGAGCGAACAGAUGAGGAGCUUGCUCCUCUGACGUUAGCGGCGGACGGGUGAGUAACACGUGGAUAACCUACCUAUAAGACUGGGAUAACUUCGGGAAACCGGAGCUAAUACCGGAUAAUAUAUUGAACCGCAUGGUUCAAUAGUGAAAGACGGUUUUGCUGUCACUUAUAGAUGGAUCCGCGCCGCAUUAGCUAGUUGGUAAGGUAACGGCUUACCAAGGCAACGAUGCGUAGCCGACCUGAGAGGGGAGUCGGCCACAUGGGACCGGGGACAGGGCCAAGACCCCCAGGGAGGGAGGCGGUGGGAAAUUUUCCCCAGGGGGGGAAGCCGGGCGGGGAAAAGCCCCGGGAGGGAGAGAGGGUUUCGGGGCUGAAAACCUUUUUUUUAGGGAAAAAAAAAUGGGUAAGGAAAUUUGCACAGUUUGACGGUACCUUAUCCAAAAGCCCCGGCUAACCACGUG
rnacentral:rRNA from 1 species